rnacentral:rRNA from 1 species
GACGAACGCUGGCGGCGUGCCUAAUACAUGCAAGUCGAGCGAACGGCGAAGAAGCUUGCUUCUUCAAUGUUAGCGGCGGACGGGUGAGUAACACGUGGGCAAUCUGCCCGUAAGACUGGGAUAACUCCGGGAAACCGGGGCUAAUACCGGAUAACACUUUUCAUCUCCUGGUGGAAAGUUGAAAGAUGGUUUCGGCUAUCACUUACGGAUGAGCCCGCGGCGCAUUAGCUAGUUGGUGAGGUAACGGCACACCAAGGCAACGAUGCGUAGCCGACCUGAGAGGGUGAUCGGCCACACUGGGACUGAGACACGGCCCAGACUCCUACGGGAGGCAGCAGUAGGGAAUCUUCCGCAAUGGACGAAAGUCUGACGGAGCAACGCCGCGUGAGUGAAGAAGGUUUUCGGAUCGUAAAACUCUGUUGUUAGGGAAGAACACGUACGAGAGUAACUGCUCGUACCUUGACGGUACCUAACCAGAAAGCCACGGCUAACUACGUGCCAGCCGCCGCCGUAAAAC